GGAUAUGAGGGCGAUCUGGCCGCAACAUCUGUCACCCCAUUGAUCACCAGGGUUGAUUCGGCUGAUCUGGCUGGUUAGGCAGGUGUCCCCUUCCUCCCGCAACUGCAUGUGCAUCCCUCCAGAAGCUGCGCACUCGGGGGAAGAGGACGACCAUCUGGAUAGAGGAGGACCGGUCUUUGGUCAAGGAUAUACAAGUAGCUGCAUUCCCCUGCUAGAACCUCCAAACGACCCUAGAUAAGGUAAGAAUCUUAGGUUCUGGGUAGACAUAAAAUCAGGGGUCGACGGGGGCGGGGGGAGUCUUCAACUCAGUACAGUCCUCAUCCAGCCCCAGAGAAUGGCCAUUCCCCUGUGGUCU
ensembl:misc_RNA 7SK 7SK RNA